rnacentral:rRNA from 1 species
GAGUUUGAUCCUGGCUCAGAUUGAACGCUGGCGGCAUGCCUAACACAUGCAAGUCGAACGGCAGCACGGCAGUAGCAAUACUGUGGGUGGCGAGUGGCGGACGGGUGAGGAAUACGCCGGAAUCUGCCCAGUCGUGGGGGAUAACUAGCCGAAAGGUUAGCUAAUACCGCAUACGACCGAGAGGUGAAAGCGGCGGACCGCAAGGCGUCGCGCGAUUGGAUGAGCCGAUGUCCGAUUAGCUAGUUGGCGGGGUAAAGGCCCACCAAGGCGACGAUCGGUAGCUGGUCUGAGAGGAUGAUCAGCCACACUGGAACUGAGACACGGUCCAGACUCCUACGGGAGGCAGCAGUGGGGAAUAUUGGACAAUGGGCGCAAGCCUGAUCCAGCCAUGCCGCGUGUGUGAAGAAGGCCUUC